rnacentral:rRNA from 1 species
UACCAUGGUUUUAACGGGUAACGGGGAAUUAGGGUUCGAUUCCGGAGAGGGAGCCUGAGAAACGGCUACCACAUCCAAGGAAGGCAGCAGGCGCGCAAAUUACCCAAUCCCGACACGGGGAGGUAGUGACAAUAAAUAACAAUAUGGGGCUCUUACGAGUCUUGUAAUUGGAAUGAGUACAAUUUAAAUCUCUUAACGAGGAACAAUUGGAGGGCAAGUCUGGUGCCAGCAGCCGCGGUAAUUCCAGCUCCAAUAGCGUAUAUUAAAGUUGUUGCAGUUAAAAAGCUCGUAGUUGAAUUUCGGGAUUUAUCCGUCGGUCGGGCUUUUGGGUCUGUACUGGCGUGAUGGAUUCCUACCUUCUGAAUAACCGGCAUGUCAUUAAUUUGGUGCGCCGGGGAAGCAGGACUGUUACCUUGAAAAAAUUAGAGUGCUUAAAGCAGGCUUAUGCCUGAAUACAUUAGCAUGGAAUAAUGAAAUAGGACGGCAUGGUUCUAUUUUGUUGGUUUCUAGGAUCACCGUAAUGAUUAAUAGGGAUAGUUGGGGGCAUUAGUAUUCAAUUGUCAGAGGUGAAAUUCUUGGAUUUAUUGAAGACUAACUUCUGCGAAAGCAUUUGCCAAGGAUGUUUUCAUUAAUCAAGAACGAAAGUUAGGGGAUCGAAGACGAUCAGAUACCGUCGUAGUCUUAACCAUAAACUAUGCCGACUAGGGAUCGGACGAUGUUAAUUUUUUAAUGACUCGUUCGGCGCCUUACGGGAAACCAAAGUGUUU